rnacentral:rRNA from 1 species
UCGGGAAUUUUGGGCAAUGGGGGAAACCCUGACCCAGCAACGCCGCGUGAAGGAUGAAGUAUUUCGGUAUGUAAACUUCGAAAGAAUAGGAAGAAUUAAUGACGGUACUAUUUAUAAGGUCCGGCUAACUACGUGCCAGCAGCCGCGGUAAUACGUAGGGACCAAGCGUUGUUCGGAUUUACUGGGCGUAAAGGGCGCGUAGGCGGCGCGGUAAGUCACUUGUGAAAUCUCUGAGCUUAACUCAGAACGGCCAAGUGAUACUGCAGUGCUAGAGUGUGGAAGGGGCAAUCGGAAUUCUUGGUGUAGCGGUGAAAUGCGUAGAUAUCAAGAGGAACACCUGAGGUGAAGACGGGUUGCUGGGCCAACACUGACGCUGAGGCGCGAAAGCCAGGGGGAGCAAACGGGAUUAGAUACCCCGGUAGUCCUGGCCCUAAACGAUGAAUACUUGGUGUCUGGAGUUUUAAUGCUCCGGGUGCCGUCGCUAACGUUUUUAGUAUUCCGCCUGGGGAGUACGCUCGCAA